AAACAACUUCUCCGAACCCUAGCAGCCCUUUCUCUUCGGUUGUAAGUCCAAGAACCCAAAAGCCGAAUCUAGGGCUCGUCUCCAGCGGCCGGCGAGGACUUUUUCCGACGAGAUCUCCACACCUUCGUGAUCCCCUCGUCGAGAAGAACAAGUAGAUACCAAGAGAUCGUUGAGGAAACAACUUCUCCGAACCCUAGCAGCCCUUUCUCUUCGGUUGUAAGUCCAAGAACCCAAAGUAAGUGCUUCUCACCUGCGGUAGGAGUAGCUUUCGGGGUUUUGUUGCAUUUUUGUUGUUGUGUAAUGAACAAGAGCAGCCCUUCAUCCUAGCAUAUUGUCUAGAUUUCAACCUUUGCUCUAGAAAUUCGGUUUGAGCUUUGGUUCAAGCCCUUUUGUUGUUUUUUUUAAGAGCACGGACAGAAUUUUUGAUGGUUUUCCUUGAUUGUUACAGCAUGCUUAUUUAGAUGUAUUUACCUUACAUUUCAAGCAUGUCUAAGUAGUUAUGUUUCCUUCAAGUCACGGCAUGAUUAAAGGAUU